GGAGGGUGCAAGCAUUAAUCGGAAUUAUUGGGCGUAAAGGGCGCGUAGGCGGAUUUGUAAGUCAGAUGUGAAAUUCCAAGACUCAAUUUUGGAGCUGCAUUUGAAACUGCAAGUCUAAGAGGGUAGACGGAGAAAACGGAAUUCCACAUGUAGCGGUGAAAUGCGUGGAUAUGUGGAAGAACACCGGUGGCGAAAGCGGUUUUCUAGUUUAUGCCUGACGCUGAUGCGCGAGAGCAAGGGGAGCAAACAGGAUUAGAUACCCUGGUAGUCCUUGCCGUAAACGAUGUAUACUUGAUAUAGCUGGGCUCAACCCUGGCUGUGUCGUAGCUAACGCGUUAAGUAUACCGCCUGAGAAGUACGCUCGCAAGAGUG
rnacentral:rRNA from 1 species